UCACUUUAACACUGAGGCGUGACGACGAGGCACUACGGUGCUGAAGCAACAAAUGCCCUGCUUCCAGGAAAAGCCUCUAAGCAUCAGGUAACAUCAAAUCGUACCCCAAACCGACACAGGUGGUCAGGUAGAGAAUACCAAGGCGCUUGAGAGAACUCGGGUGAAGGAACUAGGCAAAAUGGUGCCGUAACUUCGGGAGAAGGCACGCUGACACGUAGGUGAAGUGAUUUACUCACGGAGCUGAAGUCAGUCGAAGAUACCAGCUGGCUGCAACUGUUUAUUAAAAACACAGCACUGUGCAAACACGAAAGUGGACGUAUACGGUGUGACGCCUGCCCGGUGCCGGAAGGUUAAUUGAUGGGGUCAGCGCAAGCGAAGCUCCUGAUCGAAGCCCCGGUAAACGGCGGCCGUAACUAUAACGGUCCUAAGGUAGCGAAAUUCCUUGUCGGGUAAGUUCCGACCUGCACGAAUGGCGUAAUGAUGGCCAGGCUGUCUCCACCCGAGACUCAGUGAAAUUGAACUCGCUGUGAAGAUGCAGUGUACCCGCGGCAAGACGGAAAGACCCCGUGAACCUUUACUAUAGCUUGACACUGAACAUUGAGCCUUGAUGUGUAGGAUAGGUGGGAGGCUUUGAAGUGUGGACGCCAGUCUGCAUGGAGCCGACCUUGAAAUACCACCCUUUAAUGUUUGAUGUUCUAACGUGGACCCGUGAUCCGGGUUGCGGACAGUGUCUGGUGGGUAGUUUGACUGGGGCGGUCUCCUCCUAAAGAGUAACGGAGGAGCACGAAGGUUGGCUAAUCCUGGUCGGACAUCAGGAGGUUAGUGCAAUGGCAUAAGCCAGCUUGACUGCGAGCGUGACGGCGCGAGCAGGUGCGAAAGCAGGUCAUAGUGAUCCGGUGGUUCUGAAUGGAAGGGCCAUCGCUCAACGGAUAAAAGGUACUCCGGGGAUAACAGGCUGAUACCGCCCAAGAGUUCAUAUCGACGGCGGUGUUUGGCACCUCGAUGUCGGCUCAUCACAUCCUGGGGCUGAAGUAGGUCCCAAGGGUAUGGCUGUUCGCCAUUUAAAGUGGUACGCGAGCUGGGUUUAGAACGUCGUGAGACAGUUCGGUCCCUAUCUGCCGUGGGCGCUGGAGAACUGAGGGGGGCUGCUCCUAGUACGAGAGGACCGGAGUGGACGCAUCACUGGUGUUCGGGUUGUCAUGCCAAUGGCACUGCCCGGUAGCUAAAUGCGGAAGAGAUAAGUGCUGAAAGCAUCUAAGCACGAAACUUGCCCCGAGAUGAGUUCUCCCUGAGACUUUAGGUCUCCUGAAGGAACGUUGAAGACGACGACGUUGAUAGGCCGGGUGUGUAAGCGCAGCGAUGCGUUGAGCUAACCGGUACUAAUGAACCGUGAGGCUUAACCUUACAACGCCGAAG
rnacentral:rRNA from 1 species